AUGCAAGUCGAACGAUGAAGCCCUUCGGGGUGGAUUAGUGGCGAACGGGUGAGUAACACGUGGGCAAUCUGCCCUUCACUCUGGGACAAGCCCUGGAAACGGGGUCUAAUACCGGAUAACACUCUGUCCCGCAUGGGACGGGGUUAAAAGCUCCGGCGGUGAAGGAUGAGCCCGCGGCCUAUCAGCUUGUUGGUGGGGUAAUGGCCUACCAAGGCGACGACGGGUAGCCGGCCUGAGAGGGCGACCGGCCACACUGGGACUGAGACACGGCCCAGACUCCUACGGGAGGCAGCAGUGGGGAAUAUUGCACAAUGGGCGAAAGCCUGAUGCAGCGACGCCGCGUGAGGGAUGACGGCCUUCGGGUUGUAAACCUCUUUCAGCAGGGAAGAAGCGAAAGUGACGGUACCUGCAGAAGAAGCGCCGGCUAACUACGUGCCAGCAGCCGCGGUAAUACGUAGGGCGCAAGCGUUGUCCGGAAUUAUUGGGCGUAAAGAGCUCGUAGGCGGCUUGUCACGUCGGAUGUGAAAGCCCGGGGCUUAACCCCGGGUCUGCAUUCGAUACGGGCUAGCUAGAGUGUGGUAGGGGAGAUCGGAAUUCCUGGUGUAGCG
rnacentral:rRNA from 1 species